rnacentral:rRNA from 1 species
CUACGGGCGGCACCAGUGGGGAAUAUUGCACAAUGGGCGCAAGCCUGAUGCAGCCAUGCCGCGUGUAUGAAGAAGGCCUUCGGGUUGUAAAGUACUUUCAGCGGGGAGGAAGGGAGUAAAGUUAAUACCUUUGCUCAUUGACGUUACCCGCAGAAGAAGCACCGGCUAACUCCGUGCCAGCAGCCGCGGUAAUACGGAGGGUGCAAGCGUUAAUCGGAAUUACUGGGCGUAAAGCGCACGCAGGCGGUUGGUUAAGUCAGAUGUGAAAUCCCCGGGCUCAACCUGGGAACUGCAUCUGAUACUGGCAAGCUUGAGUCUCGUAGAGGGGGGUAGAAUUCCAGGUGUAGCGGUGAAAUGCGUAGAGAUCUGGAGGAAUACCGGUGGCGAAGGCGGCCCCCUGGACGAGGACUGACGCUCAGGUGCGAAAGCGUGGGGAGCAAACAGGAUUAGAUACCCCCGUAGUC